rnacentral:misc_RNA from 1 species
AACGCAUCUUGCGCUCCUCGGCAUUCCGAGGAGCAUGCCUGUUUGAGUGUCGUGAAGUCUCAUCGGAAGGGGGUUCUGAGGGCCCUCGUUCGGAUUUUGGACGGUCUUUGCCCUUUGCCGAUCGCAAAGGGCUCGUCUUUGAAUUCAUGGGGUCGUUUCUUUUCGGACAGACGUGAUAAGUCUUGCGUCGUCUGGCAAAAAAGACCCUUCCCCCUCCUUCCUCCUCUAUGUUCGGGGAGGAGAUUUUUCACAAACCAUCCCUUGACCUCAAAUCAGGCAGGACUACCCGCUGAACUUAA